rnacentral:rRNA from 1 species
GGAAACGGGGUCUAAUACCGGAUACGACCUGCCGAGGCAUCUUGGUGGGUGGAAAGCUCCGGCGGUGAAGGAUGAGCCCGCGGCCUAUCAGCUUGUUGGUGAGGUAACGGCUCACCAAGGCGACGACGGGUAGCCGGCCUGAGAGGGCGACCGGCCACACUGGGACUGAGACACGGCCCAGACUCCUACGGGAGGCAGCAGUGGGGAAUAUUGCACAAUGGGCGAAAGCCUGAUGCAGCGACGCCGCGUGAGGGAUGACGGCCUUCGGGUUGUAAACCUCUUUCAGCAGGGAAGAAGCGAGAGUGACGGUACCUGCAGAAGAAGCGCCGGCUAACUACGUGCCAGCAGCCGCGGUAAUACGUAGGGCGCGAGCGUUGUCCGGAAUUAUUGGGCGUAAAGAGCUCGUAGGCGGCUUGUCGCGUCGGUUGUGAAAGCCCGGGGCUUAACCCCGGGUCUGCAGUCGAUACGGGCAGGCUAGAGUUCGGUAGGGGAGAUCGGAAUUCCUGGUGUAGCGGUGAAAUGCGCAGAUAUCAGGAGGAACACCGGUGGCGAAGGCGGAUCUCUGGGCCGAUACUGACGCUGAGGAGCGAAAGCGUGGGGAGCGAACAGGAUUAGAUACCCUGGUAGUCCACGCCGUAAACGGUGGGCACUAGGUGUGGGCAACAUUCCACGUUGUCCGUGCCGCAGCUAACGCAUUAAGUGCCCCGCCUG